rnacentral:tRNA from 1 species
GCCGGUGUAGCUCAAUUGGUAGAGCACCUGACUUGUAAUCAGGGGGGUGUGGGUUCGAUUCCUAUCGCCGGCACCA